UACGUAGGGGGCAAGCGUUGUCCGGAAUUAUUGGGCGUAAAGAGCGUGUAGGCGGUCCGGUAAGUCAGCUGUGAAAGUCAAGGGCUCAACCCUUGAAUGCCGGUUGAUACUGUCGGGCUAGAGUCCGGAAGAGGCGAGUGGAAUUCCCGGUGUAGCGGUGAAAUGCGCAGAUAUCGGGGGGAACACCAAUGGCGAAGGCAGCUCGCUGGGACGGUACUGACGCUGAGACGCGAAAGCGUGGGGAGCAAACAGG
rnacentral:rRNA from 1 species